rnacentral:lncRNA from 1 species
GGAUUUGGAUGAGGAUUUGGUUUAGAAUUUGAUUAGAAUUUGGUUUAGGAUUUAGGGUUUGAAUUAGGAUUUGGUUUAGGAUUUAGGAUUUGGAUUAGGAUUUGAUUUAGGGUUUAAGAUUUGAUUUAGGAUUUAGGAUUUUAUUUGGAUUUAAGAUUCAAUUAUUUUUGGCCUAAAGUUUGAAUGAAGUUCAAUAGGAUUUUAACUAGAAUUAAAUUAAGAUUGAAUUGAGAUGUAUUUGAGUGAUAUUUGUGUUCUUUCUAAUGUUUCUUUAAGAAUUCUUAUUGUUUGUUUGAAAUUUCUUUGAG